UGGGGAAUCUUAGACAAUGGGGGCAACCCUGAUCUAGCCAUGCCGCGUGAACGAUGAAGGCCCUAGGGUUGUAAAGUUCUUUCAGCGGGGAAGAUAAUGACGGUACCCGCAGAAGAAGCCCCGGCUAACUCCGUGCCAGCAGCCGCGGUAAUACGGAGGGGGCUAGCGUUGUUCGGAAUUACUGGGCGUAAAGCGCACGUAGGCGGAUCAGUCAGUCAGGGGUGAAAUCCCGGGGCUCAACCCCGGAACUGCCUUUGAUACUGCUGGUCUGGAGUCCGAGAGAGGUGAGUGGAAUUCCGAGUGUAGAGGUGAAAUUCGUAGAUAUUCGGAGGAACACCAGUGGCGAAGGCGGCUCACUGGUCCGUGACUGACGCUGAGGUGCGAAAGUGUGGGUAGCAAACAGGAUAAGAUACCCGCGUAGUCC
rnacentral:rRNA from 1 species